CAGCAGCCGCGGUAAUACCGGCGGCCCGAGUGGCGGCCACUAUUAUUGGGCUUAAAGCGUCCGUAGCCGGGUUGGUUAGUCUCCCGGGAAAUCUGGCCGCUUAACGGUCAGAAUUCCGGGAGAUACUGCCAGCCUAGGGACCGGGAGAGGCCGAGGGUAUUCCCGGAGUAGGGGUGAAAUCCUAUAAUCCCGGGAGGACCACCUGUGGCGAAGGCGCUCGGCUGGAACGCGUCCGACGGUGAGGGACGAAGGCCAGGGGAGCAAACCGGAUUAGAUACCCGGGUAGUCCUGGCUGUAAACGAUGCGGACUUUGUGUCGGACAAGCUAUGAGCUUGUCCGGUGCCGGAGGGAAACCGUUAAGUCCGCCGCCUGGGGAGUACGGCCGCAAGGCUGAAACUUAAAGGAAUUGGCGGG
rnacentral:rRNA from 1 species